rnacentral:rRNA from 1 species
GAUGAACGCUGGCGGCGUGCUUAACACAUGCAAGUCGAACGGAAAGGCCAGUGCUUGCACUGGUACUCGAGUGGCGAACGGGUGAGUAACACGUGGGUGAUCUGCCCUGUACUUCGGGAUAAGCUUGGGAAACUGGGUCUAAUACCGGAUAGGACAACUUUUUGGAUAUUGUUGUGGAAAGCUUUUGCGGUAUGGGAUGAGCUCGCGGCCUAUCAGCUUGUUGGUGGGGUAAUGGCCUACCAAGGCGUCGACGGGUAGCCGGCCUGAGAGGGUGUACGGCCACAUUGGGACUGAGAUACGGCCCAGACUCCUACGGGAGGCAGCAGUGGGGAAUAUUGCACAAUGGGCGCAAGCCUGAUGCAGCGACGCCGCGUGGGGGAUGAAGGCCUUCGGGUUGUAAACUCCUUUCGCUAGGGACGAAGCUUUUUUGUGACGGUACCUGGAGAAGAAGCACCGGCUAUCUACGUG